rnacentral:rRNA from 1 species
AUUAAAUAGAGUUUGAUCCUAGCUCAGGAUGAACGCUGGCGGCGUGGAUAAGGCAUGCAAGUUGAACGGAACUAAUCAGAUGGAAGUAUCAAAUGAGUAGCAAUACAAGUGAGAUAUGGAAGCCUGACAGUUUAGUAGCAAACGAGGUAGUAAUAUUUAGGAACGCACCCCGAAGUCAUGAAUAGCCCAUCGAAAGGUGGAGUAAUACAUGAUGGUACCGCAAGGUUAAAGAUUUAUCGCUUCGGGAGCGGCUUAAACAGUAUCAGCUAGUUGGUAAGGUAAUGGCUUACCAAGGCUAUGACGCUUAGGAGAGGUGAGAGCCUGACCUCCACCGAUGGGACUGCGACACGGCCCAUACACCUACGGGUGGCUGCAGUCGAGAAUCUUCCACAAUGGACGAAAGUCUGAUGGAGCGACGCCGCGUGAUCGAUGAAGUGCUUCGGUAUGUAAAGAUCUUUUAUGAGGGAAGAAGUUUAUUGACGGUACCUCAUGAAUAAGGACCUGCAAAACUCGUGCCAGCAGCAGCGGUAAUACGAGUGGUCCAAGCGUUAUCCGGAAUUAUUGGGCGUAAAGGAUGUGUAGGUGGUUGUGUUAGUCGAAUGUCUAACCUCUGUGCUCAACAUGGAGACAGCAUUCGAAACGGCACGACUAGAGUAUGUUAGGGGUAAGCGGAACUCAUAGUGUAGGGGUGAAAUCCGUUGAUAUUAUGGGGAACACCAAAAGCGAAGGCAGCUUACUGGAACAUUACUGACACUGAAACAUGAAAGCGUGGGUAGCGAAUGGGAUUAGAUACCCCAGUAGUCCACGCCCUAAACGAUGUUCUCUCGCUAUGAAAAGUAUCGACCCUUUUCGUGGCUUAGCUAACGCGGUAAGAGAACCGCCUGGGAAGUACGAUCGCAAGAUUAAAACUCAAAGGAAUAGACGGGGAGACGCACAAGCAGUGGAUUAUGUGGUUUAAUUCGAUGGUAAACGAAGAACCUCACCAGGAUUUGAAACUCACGAGAAAGCCUAAGGAAACUCUGGCCCCCGCAAGGCUCGUGGACAGGUGAUGCAUGGCCGUCGUCAGUUCGUGGUUUGAACUGUUCCCUUCAGUGGGGUAACGAACGCAACCCUUAUCGCGUGUUACAAGUGUCACGCGAGACUGCCCCGUAACGUGUACUGGAGUUUGAUAGCAAUAUUAGAUUCGAGUGCACAUUACGGGGAGGAAGGAGAGGAUGACGCCAGGUCAGCAUGUCCCUUUGACAUCCUGGGCUACACACAUAAUACAAUCGCAUCGACAACGGGUCGCGACGGGGUAACCCUGAGCCAAUCCUUCAAACGAUGCGCCAGUUCAGAUUGUGGUCUGCAACUCGACCACAUGAAGCCGGAAUUGCUAGUAAUCGCGGGUCAGCGAAACCGCGGUGAAUACGUUCUCGUCUCUUGUACUCACUGCCCGUCAACUCAAGGGAGCCGGGGGUACCCAAAGGCUUGGCUUGUCCAGGACUAAGGUAAAUUCGGUGACAGGGAGUAAGUCGUAACAAGGCACGGCUAGCGGAAGCUGGUCGUGGAUUAAUUCAAUG